UACGGAGGGUGCAAGCGUUAUCCGGAUUCACUGGGUUUAAAGGGUGCGUAGGCGGGCAGGUAAGUCCGUGGUGAAAUCUCUGAGCUUAACUCAGAAACUGCCAUGGAUACUAUUUGUCUUGAAUAUUGUGGAGGUGAGCGGAAUAUGUCAUGUAGCGGUGAAAUGCUUAGAUAUGACAUAGAACACCAAUUGCGAAGGCAGCUCACUACACAGUUAUUGACGCUGAGGCACGAAAGCGUGGGGAGCAAACGGG
rnacentral:rRNA from 1 species